GCGCUCAUAGCUCAACUGGAUAGAGUGUCUGACUACGAAUCAGAAGGUUGGGGGUUCAAGUCCUCCUGGGCGCACCA
rnacentral:tRNA from 2 species